rnacentral:lncRNA from 1 species
GGUUGACAGCAGCAGCUACAUAACCACCAAGGCUUGGGGCCAGGGGAGCCGGAUAUGGGAGCGGUGGGUUCCCGGUCCUGCAGAUAGCAGGAAGGGCGGAGAGGGUGCAGCUCCAUCUGCCCACUCCCAGGCCGCACUUCUCAGUGGAAAAUGUGCCAUGAUGAAAGCAGAGAUCAAGUUACCGGUGGAAGGAAGAGCUCCCGCAUACUCUGGCUGACAUGCUUUCUACUCAUGGCUCACAGCGAACAGUGGGCAGCCGCCCAGAGCAGGUCAGAGAACGAUCAUAAACGGGGGCACGUCCUAGCCGCGUCUUUCACAGCCAUUUGCUCUGCGAAUGUCACACUGUACCAGGAUAAUUGGAGGGCUCUGGUGAGCUGGUGAGGGAAUUAGGGCUUUUCCUAAGAAAGACAAAAGCGGAGCAGCAGCUCCCAGCUCUGAGCCGGUUGCCCUGUUUCUUCAAAAAUAGGUCCUCUAACAUGGAGACGCAGAAAUCUAAACCCCCUCACCCCCACCUCCCCGCCCCCCAUGAUGUGAACAGAACAAACACCUAUUUCAUGAAAGAGAUGCAUUUUCAAGAUCACAGCAGCAGGACACUCUGGCUGCUUGGUCACCUCGGUGUUUUGGAAAAGGAAAAGAGAAUUCAGCAUUAAAGACUCAGGAAUGCUGGCUGACAUAUUAAGGAAGCAGCCUCCGGGGACAGCUGACGAGGCUCAGAGCAGCAUCGCCAGGGGAACGGUGACGCAAAUGCGUCCGUUUUCACAGGCUGGCAGGCUGCCAGGCUCCCUCCCGCGGCUGAUGUCAUGCUAAUCCCUAUCUGGGUUAGCGUUGCGUGGAUAUGGGCUCAGGCGGCUCCCGUCAGCUGCAAUCAGCAGCAGGCUCCUUUUAUAGAAGAUAGUAAAGAGGGGGGGGGGGAGCGCGCACACCAGAUUCCCGUGUGCCGAAAACCUCUGCACCGUGAAAGUAAAAGGGAAAAGAGAAGGAAGGAGCCAUGUAAGCCCAAGCCUUCUCAGCAGUCGGGUGUGCCCACGUGCAGUGGCACAACUAAGGAUCGUGUCCAAUUCCGAGCUGAGCUCAAUAAUGAGGGCAGUCAACAGAGCAUGUCAGGUGGGAAUGUGAAAAUAACCAUCUUGUCCAUUAUUGAAUACAUGGAUUGAUUCCUUCUAAACUUAUGUGUAAAAAAAUAUGGCUUUUUAAAAACUUUGCUCUUCAGGACCACUGUUUCUCAGAUAUUUUAGAGUAAAAAAUGAGGAUAAUAAUUAUGCAAAUUUUAAUCAGCCUUGGAUGGAAUGCUUCUGUGAAGUGUCCUCCGGAAUCUGUUGAGAGCCAAUUUCUAUUUCCUCUCUCAGGCCUGGUGUUCAGCUAUCCAAGAGCCAUAAGGAGGAGCCGUUUUGGAAGUGCCCCCCAUGAUGAGCGUUCUGACUUAUUCACUAGAUCAGACUUGGGUGGAAGGACCUGAAAGACCAAUCACAAAUACACACUUGGUCACUUCAGAGUGCAAAUCAUCAAAUCUGCCCCCCAAGAGAAAGGGGGUAGAGGAUGAGCACUAGCUCAGACAGCAGAGCUAUUUAAUAGGAAACUACAGGGAUGGUGACGGCAUAGGACAACAGUCCUCAAGAAGGGCAGUGACGUGGAGAAACGGCACACUCUUAAUCUUUUACAUGUUGAUAGCACAUUUCUUUCAAGAUAAGUUUCUUUAAAUUGGGCGUGGUAGCACAUGCCUGUAUUUCCAGUGGCUUAGGAGACUGAGGCAAGAGGAUCGAGAGUUCAAAGCCAGCCUCAGCAACUCAGCGAGACCCUGUCUCUAACCUAUAAAAAAGGGCUGGAGACAUAGCUCAGCAGAUAAGUGCCCCUGGGUUCAAUCCCUGGUACCAAAAACAAAAACAAAAACCAAAAAAAAAAAAAAAGAGAGAGAGAAGUUUCUUUUUGUUUGUUUUUCUCUCAACCUAAUAGAAGUUUAAGGAAAUGCACCUGGAAUUAUAGGAAAGGAGGUGGUACACACAUAUUUUUCUGAGAAAUGAACACAUAGAUUUUAUUAAUUUCUCACAGGGGUCCAGGAACCCCCACCCCAAAGUUGAAACUGAUGGAUUCUAAGGAGUUAAAAAUUCUUUAGAAAUCCGAUCUCAAUUAUUCUUCACCUCCCAAGGAGAUCAUUUAUUUACAGAUAGAGAAAGUGGGAAACUGGGAGGUCAGUGAAGAAGAGGUUUAUCGUUAUCUAGGCCACUAUAUCAGACGUUCUCUGUAGUUUGUCCACUAGCCAGGAACGCCCAUGAAGGGAGGGCCAGAGGGAGCUCAAGAUGCCUCCUGAGAAGCUGACCUUCAACUCAGUGGAUACUUGGCUCUCCAGCAUCCCUGUGGCUCCUGCCUAUCCCUCUACAUCUCCCUGCCUCCCUCAGCCAGGGCCCCAGCCAGCAGGAGACGCCACUGCAGAACUUCACCAUCUUAACCGUCUCGCUGGGAAUGUAUGUUUAGUUUUCUUGAGUAAGAAAUGUUGGCUUCAGAAGCUGGAAAGAGUUGAUACCUGACAGAGAGGAUCCAGAGGAGGAAGGGAGCCUGCACAGGGGAGAGAGGAGAGAACAUGGUUGGACGCAGUCCUUGCUCAGCCGGGUCUUUUCUUCAUGCUCUCCUCCAGCUCGGCCAAGACAGGAACGUGCUCCCCAGGUUCAGCAACUUGUGUGGGGCAGAGGCCGGCAAUGGGUGGACAACGAAGCCCACUCCCCAAGACAGGGUGGAGGAAGGCACAGAGUCAGGAGCAUGCGGCGGGGGGGGGGGGCUUCUGGGAAGCAAUACAAUUUGAUGUCAGCUUUCUGGUCAUAACAAAAUAUCUGUUCAUUGUUGAAAUUUUGGGGAUAAAAAGAGAAAAGAAGAGGAAGAAAAAACCUGCAAUCCCCUCUCCAGCUAUCUUUCUGAAUAAACAAAU